UACAGAGGUCUCAAGCGUUGUUCGGAUUCAUUGGGCGUAAAGGGUGCGUAGGCGGCGCGGUAAGUCGGAUGUGAAAUCUCGGAGCUUAACUCCGAAACUGCAUUCGAUACUGCCGUGCUCGAGGACUGGAGAGGAGACUGGAAUUUACGGUGUAGCGGUGAAAUGCGUAGAUAUCGUAAGGAAGACCAGUGGCGAAGGCGGGUCUCUGGACAGUUCCUGACGCUGAGGCACGAAGGUCAGGGGAGCAAACGGG
rnacentral:rRNA from 1 species